GAUGAACGCUGGCGGCGUGCCUAAUACAUGCAAGUCGAGCGCACGGACGAGAAGCUUGCUUCUCUGAUGUUAGCGGUGGACGGGUGAGUAACACGUGGAUAACCCCCUUAUAAGACUGGGAUAACAUCGGGAAACCAGAGCUAAUACCAGAUCAUAUUCUGCACCGCAUGGUUCAACAGUGAAAGACGGCCUUUCUGUCACUAAUAGCUGGAUCCGCGCUGCAUUAGCUAGUUGGUAAGGUAACGGCCUACCAAGGCAACGAUGCAUAGCCGACCUGAGAGAGUGUUCGGCCACGCUGGAACUGAGACACGGUCCAGAGUCCUACGGUAGGAAGCAGUAGGGAAUCUUCCGCAAUGGGCGAGAGCCUGACAGAGCAACGCCGCGUGAGUGAUGAAGGUCUUCGGCUCGUAAAGCUCUGUUGUUUGGGAAGAACAUAUGUGUUAGUAACUGUGCACUUCUUGACGGUACCUAAUAAAAAAGCCCCGGCUAACUACGUG
rnacentral:rRNA from 1 species